UACAUAGGGGGCAAGCGUUAUCCGGAAUUAUUGGGCGUAAAGGGUGCGUAGACGGUUAUGUAAGUCUUUGGUUAAAGUUCUAGGCUUAACCUAGUGAAGCCAAGGAAACUGCAUGACUUGAGUUUGGUAGAGGCAAGUGGAAUUCCAUGUGUAGAGGUAAAAUUCGUAAAUAUAUGGAGGAACACCAGUGGCGAAGGCGGCUUGCUGGGCCAAAACUGACGUUGAGGCACGAAAGCGUGGGGAGCAAACA
rnacentral:rRNA from 1 species